AGACGUACCUGGCAGGGAGAUACCAUGAUCGUCAUGGUGGUUUCCCAGGGCAAGGCUUAGCCACUGCACUCUGAUGUGUUGACCCCUGUGAUUUCCACAAAUGUGAGAAACUCAUGAAAAAAAGU
rnacentral:snRNA from 1 species